AUUGAACGCUGGCGGCAGGCCUAACACAUGCAAGUCGAGCGAGCGGCGGACGGGUGAGUAAUGUCUGGGAAACUGUCUGAUGGAGGGGGAUAACUACUGGAAAAGGUAGCUAAUACCGCAUACCAUCAGAUGUGCCCCGAUGGGGUUAGCUAGUGGGUGGGGUGUCGGCUCACCUCUGCGCCUCUGCCUAGCUGUUCUGAGAGGAUGACCAGCCACACUGGAACUGAGACACGGUCCAGACUCCUACGGGAGGCAGCAGUGGGGAAUAUUGCACAUUGGGCGCAAGCCUGAUGCAGCCAUGCCGCUUGUGUGAAGAAGGCCUUCGGGUUGUAAAGUACUUUCAGCGGGGAGGCGUUACCCGCAGAAGAAGCACCGGCUAACUCCGUGCCAGCAGCCGCGGUAAUAC
rnacentral:rRNA from 1 species